rnacentral:lncRNA from 1 species
GAGCAUCCAAUAAUAAGUACAGUACUUAAGUCUAUAUAUCACCAUAUUACAAACUCCCUACCUUAAAAUCCUGUGCAACUUGUCAGAAAACCAAACAACCCCUUGAGGGUAGAGAAAGUAUGUAGCUGCAGUGCUAAUGAGGAUGAGGGGGUUCGUGGGCAAUUCUAGACAUCUAUGAAAUAAGUUAAACAGAUCUCGAUUGUAACAUAUAAGCAGACAAUUAUAACCAAUAUACAUGCAAUACACAUGUUAUAUAUAUAUAUAUAUAUCCCUCAAACACAGCAACCUUGGCCUUCAUCCUAUUUGCAUUUCAUUUUUGCCUUUGGUCCAUAUUUUGUCCUAAAGUUGAAGUAAUGAAAGAGAGUAGCAUAGGAUUGACAGGAUAUUAUCAAUUACAACAGCAAUAAUACCUGAGCCCACUGCAGGAGAUGGGGAAACACGGGCUCUCGGCCGAUGAUGACGAUGACGGUGAUGUCCAACCACUCGACUGGCAAUUGGAGCAGCAGCAAGACCUAAAGAUUAGAGUUCCCCAUCAGUAAAAGCUCAAGAAGUUCUACAAGAUGGUGUGGAAAGAGCAACUCUCAAUACCUUGAGAUGCAGGGGAAGGAGCAGGCGCCCUGGAGGGAAUCAGAUGUGGUUUAAAAUGGUGUCUAUGCGGUGCUGACAUUGGAGCAAAUGAGACAUGAGUUGACACUAAUCUUGCUGCAAAACAAUGUAAGAGAUACUUAAGUAUGUUCCAGAUUCACAUUUAUCACUAAAUUGGUAUAACAAGUGGCUUCUCUAAUCAGUCAACAAAUAACAACACAGAGCCAUAAGAAGCAGAAUUUGAAGAAUCAAUCUUACCAUCUUCUAAAAAAAGUUUGCUUGCAUAGUAAGGCUUGUUUGGCGGUAGAGUAGGAGACAGGUAAAUGUGCGGCAAUGUUAUCCCUGAAAAGUUUAAAGCUUUAGAAGCAAAUAAGUAACCGAACUUCACAUACAGAAAGAACAGCCAAUCGUGCAUGCACUAAAUUUCACAGAUUGAAAGGUAUUAUCUGAAUGGUAAAAAUAUCUUAAAGUCUUGAAAAACAGGAUAACUGAAAAGGAAAUACUUCUAAUUUAUCGGCUGCAAGCAUCCAUUAACUAAUGCCUGUCUACCUCCUUCCUUCAAAAAAGGAAAGGGCUUUCUUUAUACAUCAAUCAUGCUGCAUUACCAAUACAAGUUGCUGUCAACUAUAUAAGCUCUCUAUUGUUAUAUCUUUUCAAACAGGAAGCGCUUUUGUGGAUUCUUGAAUUCCAAAAUUAGUCACCCUAGAACCUUUCCUCUAAUUGGAGUGUGCAUUUGAAUUCAAAAACUCAAACCCCAACAGUUCUAAACUCCACAAAAUGCCUGGUUAAAUCCCACCCUUCCACACCUCCUAACUUAAGCAGAAAUUUCAUAACAACCCAUCAACAAGUGAAAGGGUUAUAAGAAAAAGAAACAUGAAGCAAGUAUAUCAAAAUGUGCCUAAUCCCAACUUAUCUAGGGUUCUACUCAAG